rnacentral:rRNA from 1 species
GAUGAACGCUGGCGGCGUGCCUAAUACAUGCAAGUCGAGCGAACAGACGAGGAGCUUGCUCCUCUGACGUUAGCGGCGGACGGGUGAGUAACACGUGGAUAACCUACCUAUAAGACUGGGAUAACUUCGUGAAACCGGAGCUAAUACCGGAUAAUAUAUUGAACCGCAUGGUUCAAUAGUGAAAGACGGUUUUGCUGUCACUUAUAGAUGGAUCCGCGCCGCAUUAGCUAGUUGGUAAGGUAACGGCUUACCAAGGCAACGAUGCGUAUCCGACCUGAGGGGGGGAUAGGCCACACUGGACCUGAGACACGGUCCAGACUCAUACGGGAGGCAGCAGGAGGGAAUCUGCCGAAAGGGGCGAAAGCUUGACGGAGCAACGCCGCGUGAGUGAGGAAGGUCUGCGGAUCGUAAAACUCUGUUAUUAGGGAAGAACAAAUGUGUAAGUAACUAUGCACGUCUGGACGGUACCUAAGCAGAAAGCCACGGCAAAAUACGU